rnacentral:rRNA from 1 species
CCUACGGGGGGCAGCAGUGGGGAAUAUUGCACAAUGGGGGAAACCCUGAUGCAGCGACGCCGCGUGAGUGAAGAAGUAUUUCGGUACGUAAAGCUCUAUCAGCAGGGAAGAAAAUGACGGUACCUGACUAAGAAGCCCCGGCUAACUACGUGCCAGCAGCCGCGGUAAUACGUAGGGGGCAAGCGUUAUCCGGAUUUACUGGGUGUAAAGGGAGCGUAGACGGCAGCGCAAGUCUGGAGUGAAAUCCCAUGGCUUAUCCAUGGAACUGCUUUGGAAACUGUGCAGCUAGAGUGCAGGAGAGGUAAGCGGAAUUCCUAGUGUAGCGGUGAAAUGCGUAGAUAUUAGGAGGAACACCAGUGGCGAAGGCGGCUUACUGGACUGUAACUGACGUUGAGGCUCGAAAGCGUGGGGAGCAAACAGGAUUAGAUACCCGGGUAGUC